UUUCCGUAGGUGAACCUGCGGAAGGAUCAUUAUUGUACAACCGGUGUGCGAUGGCUGUCGCUGAUCCCAUAGGCAGAGCACGCCCGAGCGCCAUCACACACAUCCAUCUCAUCCCUAAGUGCACCACCGGGGGGGUACCCCUUUGGCUUGUUCGGAGGGCAGCUUACGUUUUCACUCCAACUUUGAAUGCAGUGUAGAAUGUAUUUUUUGUUUUUGCGAUCACGCAAUCAAUCAACAUUUCAACCACGGACCCCUUUGUUCUCGCAUCGAUGAAGAAAG
rnacentral:misc_RNA from 1 species